AGUCAUAUGCUUGUCUCAAAGAUUAAGCCAUGCAUGUCUCAGUACAAGCCGAAUUAAGGUGAAACCGCGAAAGGCUCAUUAAAUCAGUUAUGGUUCCUUAGAUCGUACCCACAAUUACUUGGAUAACUGUGGUAAUUCUAGAGCUAAUACAUGCAAAUAGAGCUCCGACCGGAGACGGAAGGAGUGCUUUUAUUAGAUCAAAACCAAUCGGUGGCGGGUCGUUUCGCGCGGCUCGUCAUCGUACAACUUGGUGACUCUGAAUAACUUUACGCUGAUCGCACGGUCUCGCACCGGCGACGCAUCUUUCAAAUGUCUGCCUUAUCAACUGUCGAUGGUAGGUUCUGCGCCUACCAUGGUCGUAACGGGUAACGGGGAAUCAGGGUUCGAUUCCGGAGAGGGAGCCUGAGAAACGGCUACCACAUCCAAGGAAGGCAGCAGGCGCGCAAAUUACCCACUCCCGGCACGGGGAGGUAGUGACGAAAAAUAACGAUACGGGACUCAUCCGAGGCCCCGUAAUCGGAAUGAGUACACUCUAAACCCUUUAACGAGGAUCAAUUGGAGGGCAAGUCUGGUGCCAGCAGCCGCGGUAAUUCCAGCUCCAAUAGCGUAUAUUAAAGUUGUUGCGGUUAAAAAGCUCGUAGUCGAAUUUGUGUCUCGCGCCGNACGGUUCAUCGUNCCGCGGUGNUCAACUGGCGUGACGCGAGACGUCCUGCCGGUGGGCUUAGCUCCUUUGUCGUUGUGUUCCUGACGAGCGGGCGUUCGCGCGCACGUUCUCAGGUCGCGCGGCAUUCGGCGGCGGCCCAACUNCAUCCCGCCGCGGUGCUCUUCACUGAGUGUCGAGGUGGGCCGGCACGUUUACUUUGAACAAAUUAGAGUGCUUAAAGCAGGCUAAAAUUUCGCCUGAAUACUGUGUGCAUGGAAUAAUGGAAUAGGACCUCGGUUCUAUUUUGUUGGUUUUCGGAACCCCGAGGUAAUGAUUAAUAGGAACGGAUGGGGGCAUUCGUAUUGCGACGUUAGAGGUGAAAUUCUUGGAUCGUCGCAAGACGAACGGAAGCGAAAGCAUUUGCCAAAAACGCUUUCAUUGAUCAAGAACGAAAGUUAGAGGUUCGAAGGCGAUCAGAUACCGCCCUAGUUCUAACCAUAAACGAUGCCAGCUAGCGAUCCGUCGAAGUUUCUCCGAUGACUCGACGGGCAGCUUCCGGGAAACCAAAGCUUUUGGGUUCCGGGGGAAGUAUGGUUGCAAAGCUGAAACUUAAAGGAAUUGACGGAAGGGCACCACCAGGAGUGGAGCCUGCGGCUUAAUUUGACUCAACACGGGAAACCUCACCAGGCCCGGACACCGGAAGGAUUGACAGAUUGAGAGCUCUUUCUUGAUUCGGUGGGUGGUGGUGCAUGGCCGUUCUUAGUUGGUGGAGCGAUUUGUCUGGUUAAUUCCGAUAACGAACGAGACUCUAGCCUGCUAACUAGGCGCUUUUUGACAUCGCAAAGGCCCGCCGGCCGUGCGGGGUCCGCGCUCUUCACGGGGUGCGGCUCCGUCGUGNUCGCGCGCGGUUUUUACUGUCGGCGUACAAACAAUUCUUCUUAGAGGGACAGGCGGCUUCUAGCCGCACGAGAUUGAGCAAUAACAGGUCUGUGAUGCCCUUAGAUGUUCUGGGCCGCACGCGCGCUACACUGAAGGAAUCAGCGUGUCUUCCCUGACCGAACGGUCCGGGCAACCCGCUGAACCUCCUUCGUGCUAGGGAUUGGGGCUUGCAAUUGUUCCCCAUGAACGAGGAAUUCCCAGUAAGCGCGAGUCAUAAGCUCGCGUUGAUUACGUCCCUGCCCUUUGUACACACCGCCCGUCGCUACUACCGAUUGAAUGAUUUAGUGAGGUCUUCGGACCGACACGCGAUGGCGCUUCGGCGUCGUCGAUGUGUAUGGGAAGAUGACCAAACUUGAUCAUUUAGAGGAAGUAAAAGUCGUAACAAGGUUUCCGU
rnacentral:rRNA from 1 species